rnacentral:lncRNA from 1 species
GACAUUCAGGCGGGUUGGUGUGAUUAGGAGACAGAGACGACGGCAGCUCCGUUUUCUGCUGGAGGCAGUUUGAUUACAGACACUUUGAUAAACAAGUAGGUGACACCUGGAGCGGAAAAUGUCCCUUGUCAAUUUGAUUCUCUCAUCUCUGUCCCCUCCUCACUUGUGCACACACAGCUGCACACACACAUUUUCUAAUAAUGCCUUAACUGUGGUCCUGAUGGAAAGCUGUAGACCGUGACUGCCCUAUAAUAACCUCAGACACCUUUACCUGCCCGCUGGAGCCCAUCUGUGAUCUGGUUCACAGAAAACCCAGUUUAACACCCAAGAGAUCGGUUUUAAUUUAAAUUUUAUCCUGAUAUACAGUUCCUGUCUUUAUUUUUUUGCAGAUAGUAACAAAUAUUUUAUUGGCACAUCAAUUUCAGAUAUUACAGGCGGGGCUGGUUAAAACCGAGUUAGAAGUUUUAAAGUCAGAGUUCUCAAAUAGAUAAAAGAAUACCUUACCUCCGAUUUCAUACCCUUUGUCUCUCAGUCGUGUUCAAUAAAAAAACGUAGCACGACCACUGCAGCCAUGAAAUGACAUUCUUGAAGCCCCAGACAGUAAACAGUGUUGCCUGUCUUGGUUUAUUGUAUUUUCCAAGGCUUUUGAUUCUGUUAACCACAGCAUCUUACUUAAAUGUCUUAAUGUCACUGGGUUUUCCAAACAUGCAGUUACAAAUCCACUUGGGGUACAACAAGGACAACAAUCAGUUCUGUGCCUGCUACUUUUUACUAUUCACGAAAGUUGUCUUGGACAGAAACUCUGCUUUUAAAUUUGAUUAUUAUGACUGUUAUUUAAGGCUGUAUGCAUACACCUGCUCAAGCUUUCUUAAAGAGGGGGUAUUAUGCUUUUUUUUUUCAGACUCUACUUCCUCUCUGGUACCUUUUUAAUAGUUUAAUGAUAGUGUCUGAAAUGCUUAAUUUUAGCUGCUGUCUCCUUAGGUUGAGUAUUGGAGUAUACCUAUGUCCAAAAGUCACAGAACUGAAUAAAAAAAGACAGGUGUAAAUGUUCAAUAUAUCUGCACUCUGGAAGAGACAAAAACUGAUAUUUUAUGUUUGGAUUCACAAUAAAACUUGAAACGUUUUAAAAUCAUCUGACCUGAAUUUGUAAAACAAACAAUGCAGUAUACAGAUAAGGCAGUGAUGUGAAAGUGGAAAAUCUGACUUAAAAAUCUGAUUUAAAAAAUAUCUGAUUUGCACAAACUCUUCUUGAUCCUCGUGGUGGAUUAGAUUUCUUUGUGCAUCAAUCUGGAAGAAACUUGCACACUGCACAUCUGAUUAAUUUUUAAGGUGUUGGGCAUCAUUUUUUAUAUGUUUUCACACAUUUACGCUCUCUAAGUUUCGUAAUGUUUUGUGUCUGAUGUGGACCUUGCUGGUUUUGAGAGCUUGCAAACCUAAAGGUUUUGAAAGCUCUUACUUUCCUUUAUUAAUAUUCAUCAUUUCAUCAAGCUUAAAGCUGCUUUCAGGGGCUUUAGGUUUGUGUUGGAUCUGGCGCCCCCUGUGGUCAAAGAGAUACCUCUUAUCUUUUGCCCUGUGCACGUAAAAGUUGUGUUUUCAGAUAAAUACCUCAUCCUGUUCUUUUUUAAUCAUGAAACACAUCCCUCACUGUUUGUGUACAUGUUUGAUUUAAAUGUAUUUGUUUGCAUUUCUUGCAGCCUGUUUUUCAUUUUCAGCCUGUUUCUGCUGAUGCACGAUUUUGACUCUUGUACGCUUCUUUCUGAAUUUGCAGCCUGUUUCUUUAAAUGGAAAUCCUUUUGCACACUGCAGCUUGAUUGUGAGUAGUGGCUACCUUACAUGCGGCACCUUCACCUGAACAUUUAUUACAUUACUUUUCUUCUUUUAUUUAUUGUGCAGUGUCUCAAUGGCUUAGCCCCUCUCACCUGACCAUGAGCCAACUCGUUUACCGGUCCAACAUGAAAGUAGCAAUUAGCUUCUGCAGCUCCUUCUGCUGUUCGUGACUCCCAUCCAAAAAGUCUGCAGAGUCUCCAAACAUAUUAACAAGAAACUCGAAGAUUCCAGCUGUUUCCUCUUUUGUUUCCAAACAAAAUCCCUCUGUUUGUGUGUGCUGAGCCGCUGCCACACCGACACAAUCGCACACACACACAUACACGCACACACACUCAGAGUUGGCUGAGGAGCCGAGGGCAUCUGGGAGUUGGAUUAGAAGCCAUGACAGGGAGAUGGAGGGGGGAUUACUCUGCCUGCCUGGGUUUGUUUGCAUGAGUGAGAGGGAAGGAGAGAAAAAAGAUUCAGAGGGGCUGAAUGUGUUGGCCUUGACGUCUGCUUCAUUAUUGGAAAACAACAACAGAGAAAAACCAGACGAGGGCUGAAAAAUACGUUUCAAACAGUUUGAGUGUAGAAAAGACUGAAGAUGAUCUUUCAGGGAAACAAAACCAGCGCUGAACAAAUCUCCUACAGCUUCGCAGGGAGAGAUGGAGAACAGAGGGAAAGAGUUAUCAUUGUAUCAAAUAACUGCAAAAAAAAAAUAGAAAAGUCCAGAUUUUUCUUCAAAAUCUGCAUCAGGCAAUUAAAUUUUUGGAUAGACUGUGGUAUUUUUGUUGUUUUCUUUCCAAUUAACAUCAGAGAAAAAUAAUAUUUUGAAUUCCUGUGAAUAAAAGUGUGAGCAGUGGGUUCAAAAACUCUUAGUUCCUAUUCGUCAGUAAAUCCUUGAAUUCCCCUCAAAGAAUAUUGCGUAAUUUGAAACAACUUUUAGGACAAAAUCAAAAAAUGUAAAACAACAAUGCUCAAGGUUCACAAAUUUACAGGUAACACAAAGUUUGAAAGUAAAACCAACAAGGGUGCAAACUUUACAACAGUAAAGGUGGGACAUAUUGAAGAUGAGUCUUUCCUUACAUGCUGGUUCUUCAUGACUAAAAGGGAUGAUAACAUAAGUGGUGAAUGAACUGGCAACCAAAUUUGUGGCAAAAUCUCUGUUCACAAAGCUCUGAGGAAUAACCACCUGACAAAACGGUCAGAUCUGCCUGGACACUUUUACGUUUCAACCAAUCAUUUAUCAGCACAUGUACAAGCUCUCUCACGUCUCCACACAUCUUUUCUUUUUUUUUUUACAUGCAAAAUAUAUUGAUACCGUGCUAAAAAAGCAUACAUCAAUGCCAUGACUUCAUAGCAGAGGUCUUUUUACUCAAGUUGUCAUACAUCAUAACACAGAAGAGAGACGAAGAGGAAGCAGCAGCAGCAUCUGCAGCAACCUUUUAAGAGAUAUGAUGUACCCAAAGUGGUAAACUUCAAAAUAAGAGCAUAGCAUCACAAUGCAGAAAAUAAACCUGGAUGCAAGACAAAAAUAUGUAAAAAUAAAAGCUUGAAAGGCAAUCCCUCAACAAGACAAUGUCAAAGAAGUGGAUGGUGACAUGUAAGCCAGUUGUUAAGUUAGUAAGGUGAUUAUUGUUCGUCAGUUUAUGGCGUAUUGUGUUCCUCCACCCUUGUCUCGACUCCUCUUGAUUUGACUGAUUGUAUUGCUUUACUUUCAAGUUUUGGCAUAAUAUUGUUAUUUUAAGAAAAACAUCAACUAAAGCUGGACUAAAAUUAGAUGAAUAUAAAAACUGUGUUCCACUGAUUGAUUCUGACUAAAGCUAAAUUAAAUUUUCCAUGAAAAAUAAAUGUUGGGGCACACAACAAUGGAGUGAUGGCAUAUUAAAGGGUGUAAUAUACUGUGUGAUAAGAGUCACAAUCAUAUAAAUAAUCAGUUAAUAUACUAAAAAUUCAUUCAUUGCAUAAAUCUCAUAACAUUUCCCUAGCUUCAUUUGGUUUAAUAAAGUCUGUUGUUAUUAAACCGAGCAGCAGAAACCGGGUUUCUUACAGCGGAUAUGAAUGUAAAUAUGUGACAACUAUUAUGACCAAACUGACUUCCUUUAGGAAGUUUCUGCUUCAUUUCAGAGCAUGAUGAGAAUUAUGGGGAAAAUUGUGCUCAUGUUUAAUUACUUUCCAGUUUGGCAAGUAAAUAUUUUGACGUCUGCGGGGCACGAGUGGCUGAGGAAGUCAGGGAAUUUAUCAUUUCUGAUCUGAAGAGCUGUAACUCCAAUAACCCUCCUCAGUGCCACAGAGCUCGACAUGCAGCAGCUUCAUAACAACAGAUGCCAAAACUAGGGAGGAGCUACAGGGCGUUUCUUUUUCCGUGAUUGCAGUGAAGGCAGCAAAAUCACAGGAGGAUCACCCUGCCAAAAACAAUUAAACUCACCAGAGGAAAAAAUACUCACUGUGACCAGCCCCUUAAAAUGCUUGAAUCUUUACACUUGAAUAUCCAUGUGUUUCAUCAGACUAUUUCAAAUACAAGGAAAAUAUACAGGACUGAGGAAUUAAAUGGACAAGUGUCAAAAACUGCAGUUCCAUCAAAGACCACUUGAGGCUGAUUCUAAAGAUGAGUCAGUCCUCUUAACGUGUCAUGUGAAAAUCCCCAAAUUUACACAUAAAUUUAAUGUUGCCAGAAAGGCUGAAUUGCAUGCACCUCACAAAACACACACCGCUCAUAGUAGAGUGGUCCACGGAAAUGUACAAUUUAAAACCCAUAUAACUCUUAUUUGUUGGGCGAAACAGUGAUGAGUAAUGUUCCUGAAGUAAUUCUCGGUGUAUAUGUGUUUCUCUGCACAACACCGGCAGCACCAGAGACUCACUCCAUGUGCAGGGGCGUGGGUUCCUCCUUUCUGAUUGUGAUUGAAGGCUGGUAGGGCAGUCUGAUUGGCAACUGAGUAAAGAACAAAUGUGAUUAGUGGAUCACAGCACAGCACAUGCAGAGUCACAUGCGGUGUAUCUCAGUCAGCUACCCUUGAAAUUAGAUGAGUUCAUUCACCUCCUACAUCACGAUGACGAUGCUUAACCGAUAUAUUGUGUAGCCCCAGUUGCCAGCCAGCUACAAACAUUAUAAUGAUACUUGGCUGAGGUCAUGAGUUCAGGUUGGACACCAGAACAAAAUUGGCUAAAAUCAACUCUAUCCCUAUGAUUGAUUUAAGUUCUGCAUGAACUAUAGUUUUUCCAAGCACUUAAUGGGUCAUGACCACAAUGAAGGUGCGGUUACAAGAGUAUAGGGUUGGAGUGGGUCGUAAUAAAAAGCCCCAAACCUCUGGGGAGGCCCCAGAGGAAUCCCAUCAGCUCCAUCGUUUGUAUGCUGCUGAUUGUCUUUCCAGCUUUUUCAAAUCAGGCUUGUGUUACUGAGCAUCUUCUCAGGAGUUUUUUUUUUAUUAUUAUUCUCACAUGUCAUUUACUGCAACUUAAGGAGCAGCAGCUGUACAGCAUCAAAGGAGGGAGGAUCAGGAAGAGUGGGCUUCGUUUGCAUUCAGGACAGCCUGUGUGGGUCUCAGCGAGGCAGCAAAGACUCGUGACUGAAUGAACUACACCUCUCUGUUUCCAUAGACUGCUCCCAUUCAUCACUCUGUAACAACUGCCCCUAGAGUUCAGCCAAUCACAAAGAUCUUCUCCCAUUAUUCUGAAGUUAUCCUCAACCUUUUCUUCUUUGCUUGAGAACAAAGCAUGUAUUUGUACAUCGACAUGAGAAUAGAGUGUGGUUAUAUUAUUGACAAUUGUGACUAUGUCUUGAGAUUUAGCAGACUCACCAACCGCAGACUCUCAAGAUGUACACUGAGACACAAGUCACCAGCUUUACCAGGUGUAAUGCAAAAUCUGUUUUGUAGUAGUAUUGUAGCAUGUAGUAUUUCUGUUCUUUUUUUAGCUUUUUCCUGUUGCAUAUAUAGGCUGAAUUCAGGUGAAAGCAGCAUCAAGAACAGCUCAUUUAUCAGCGUCACUCAUCCUCUCUAUGUUGUUGCAUCCAGGGGAGCAGAGAUGUUUCUCUCAGUCAGUGAGGCGGGAUUGUGAGACAUUCGCUCUGCAGUUUGUAAAGGGUUUUCCAACUCAAACAGAUUAAGAUCUUAAAAUUACCAGGGAAGGGGGACAGCUCUCUACAUCCGUCCCCCAAGGACUGCAGAUUUAGCCUCAGAUUUAGACGCCAGCUAAUAGCUGCAGCAUCCUCCCUUUCCCUCAAACUGACUCUGAUUUCCGUGAUGAAAAGUAGCUGUAAAGAGACAAAGACGAUGACUGAAAUUCAUGAAGAUAUCCAAAAGAGAGCACAUGAACUCCUCCCCUUUGAUUUGAAAUUUAUUAAUCUAAAAUGUGUCUCCAGUCUGGAAAAAGUAAGAGCAGCUAAGAUGAAGUAUGUCCGUGUUGACUUUUAAGCCCUCCUGCACACAGGCGACUACCUUCCCUGCAGCUGAAAAAUUGACCUUCAGUGCAAUAUCCCCCUGCUGGAGUUGAGGAAAGUUCAGCCUCAUCUUUCAGCAGCUGUUUUUUUUUUUUUCUGCUCAGGCAUACUCUGCUGAGAAAUUCUCACCUUCAAGCUUUAUCUAUAAGGGCUGUUGACUUUCCAGCUAACAGAUCUGCUCUUGAUUCCUGGAAAUGCAAACAGCUCCACAAGGGAACGUCUGCUGGAAAAAUGAAGCAAUCUUCCCCUUUGCCAGGCGACAGGUGAGACUGAGCGCCCGCUGAGUUUACAGCCAAUACGAUAUAAACAACAACGUCCUAGGCUUGAAGAUCUAUGAAUGGUUUUAUACGAAUAAAACAAAAUCCUUAUCAACUACAGGCAAAGACAGCCAGUGAAGAAUACGUCUGGCUGAGUUUAGUAUUUUUCUUCUUGUCUACAAAUCCUUCAAACAAGCCCGAACCAAUAAUAUAUAUAUCAUAAAACAAAUAUGUGUGUGUGUAUGUCAGACUGAUAUAUCUCAUUCCUCUCUGUCACAAGCCUCUACUGUUGCACACAUACUAUAAAGAGCCCAACAGCUGCACGCAGCAACCUGUUCCUACAUUAAAGAGAUACUUCAGACUUUUUUGUGUGAGCUGUGGGUUAAUGUAUGAGCCACAAUGGAUGUCAGUCAUCUCAGCAGCUUUCAUGAAAAACUGCCAGUAGAAAUGGGAUGUUUGGUAUGCUACAGUUUUCUGCAGAUGGGGUCGAUGGGUUAAGCGUGUGCUCAACUAAGACAUUUUUUCAUCGCUUUACUUUGCCCUCAGAAAGUCUGUGUGUUUUUGCACUAUUUGCAGAUGCAACACAUGGAUGUGCUCCUGAUGUCAUGAUAUGAUCUGGUUUUUAGUUUUUCCCUGGAGUGUAUUUUCUUUGUGAUUGUCCCCAGUGUUUCUGUUCCCUUUUGUUCCUGUUCCCCUGUAGUCUUGUCUUGUGAGUUUACAGUUUGUUUCUGACCCCGGUUCCCUCAUGUUCUCACUGUUUUAUUCCUUGUAUCAGUUUUCAGUGUUUCCUGUCUUAUUUUGAAGUAGUUUAUUUCCUGUUUCUAGUCUUGUUUUACUUCCUCAGUUUUCCCUCCUUAGUAAUUGUCUGCACCUGUGUCUCAGUGUCUCACCUGCCUCUCGUUGCUCGUUUCCCUGUGUGUAUAUAUAGUCCCUGUCUUCCCCUGUUUGUUCAUUGUGAAUGUGUUGUAUGUCUGCAUGCCAGUGGCUCCUUGUGUUUUUUUUACCUUUGGGAAUUUUUCUGUUUGAUGUUAAAGUAAGUUUUUGUUGCUGUUUAUUUAGUUAAUUUUGAAUAAAUCAUUUUUGUUCUGCACUUGGGUCGUUCCCCCUUUUGUUUCACCCUGAAAUGUGACACCUGAUUUAUUUUUAUUUACACUACACUUUGAAAAUAUAAAUUUUACAAAAUGUUUGAAAGGGCCAGCUGACCAUUUAGGCACUUUUUUUUAACCAUAUAUAAUCAGUGUUAAAUAUCAUGAUGUGAUCUUCCCUUGUUCUGCAUCUGUCUGUACAUAUUAAAAGUCAGAGAUGUCCGUUUUGGGCAACUUGCUCAAUUUCUGCAAUUUGUGCCACAUCAUUUGUAUCUUGCCCAACAAGAGCUUGCAUUUAAUCACAUUAGCAAAGUCGAUGCAUGUAAUCAUUUUAUUUGCAUCCAGUGUGAGCCUCUUAAAAGUCCCUCUUUGUCCUUCUAACACUUUUUCACGUUUGAAUUUCUAUCGAGGGCUAAAAUGCUUCGAGAGUUACUUUUAUUGUUGCGCAGAUCCAGUCAUGACUUUGUGGGGAAAUUCAGCAAAUAUUUCAGGUGAAAUCACAGUUUUUCUUUUCUUUACAAAGACUGUUAUCUUUUAUCAGGAGCACCUGUCACCAUCCUGUUUCAUCGGCCUACUCAAGGUGAAUCUAAUCGUGUUGAGACUUUUGGUUGUUGCUGAAUGAAGAAGGUCAACUCUUCAGAUGAGCCCGCACCUCCCACUGACCUCCAGAUCAAGAGGCUCUGAGUGAAGUAUUGUAAAAUCAAUAACAACUUCUGAUUGGAAGAGACUUGUGACAUACGAUGACAUACAACUGUCCACCUAAUGAAAGGUCGGAG